UGGGGAAUUUUGGACAAUGGGCGAAAGCCUGAUCCAGCAAUGCCGCGUGUGUGAAGAAGGCCUUCGGGUUGUAAAGCACUUUUGUCCGGAAAGAAAUCCUUGGCUCUAAUACAGUCGGGGGAUGACGGUACCGGAAGAAUAAGCACCGGCUAACUACGUGCCAGCAGCCGCGGUAAUACGUAGGGUGCAAGCGUUAAUCGGAAUUACUGGGCGUAAAGCGUGCGCAGGCGGUUUGCUAAGACCGAUGUGAAAUCCCCGGGCUCAACCUGGGAACUGCAUUGGUGACUGGCAGGCUAGAGUAUGGCAGAGGGGGGUAGAAUUCCACGUGUAGCAGUGAAAUGCGUAGAGAUGUGGAGGAAUACCGAUGGCGAAGGCAGCCCCCUGGGCCAAUACUGACGCUCAUGCACGAAAGCGUGGGGAGCAAACAGGAUUAGAUACCCUGGUAGUCCACGCCCUAAACGAUGUCAACUAGUUGUUGGGGAUUCAUUUCUUAGUAACGUAGCUAACGCGUGAAGUUGACCGCCUGGGGAGUACGGUCGCAAGAUUAAAACUCAAAGGAAUUGACGGGGUCAUAGCUG
rnacentral:rRNA from 1 species